UACGGAGGGUGCAAGCAUUGAUCGGAAUUACUGGGCGUAAAGGGCGCGUAGGCGGUUUGGAAAGUCAGAUGUGAAAUUCCGGGGCUCAACCCCGGAGCUGCAUUUGAAACUUCCAGACUAGAGUUCAGUUAGGGAGAACAGAAUUCCACGUGUAGCGGUGAAAUGCGUAGAUAUGUGGAAGAAUACCGGUGGUGAAGACGGUUUUCUGGGCUGAUACUGACGCUGAGGCGCGAAAGCAAGGGGAGCAAACAGG
rnacentral:rRNA from 1 species